rnacentral:rRNA from 1 species
UACGUAGGGUGCGAGCGUUAAUCGGAAUUACUGGGCGUAAAGUGUGCGCAGGCGGCCGAGCAAGUCGAGUGUGAAAGCCCCGAGCUUAACUUGGGAACUGCGCUCGAAACUACUUGGCUUGAGUGUGGCAGAGGGAGGUGGAAUUCCACGUGUAGCGGUGAAAUGCGUAGAGAUGUGGAGGAACACCGAUGGCGAAGGCAGCCUCCUGGGCCAACACUGACGCUCAUGCACGAAAGCGUGGGGAGCAAACAGG